rnacentral:miRNA from 1 species
CUCCCCGGGCUUUGCCUCCCGUGCCUACUGAGCUGAAACACAGUUGGUUUGAUCGCACUGGCUCAGUUCAGCAGGAACAGGGGUCCAGCCCCCUCGGAGCCUGCA